CUUCUCACUUCUCUUGUUUUACUUCAUCCCACCCAAGCCUGAAGGAGUUGAGAAGGAAACAGUCCAGAACUCUGUGCUCUGUGUAAAAGGAGUGCCUGUGAAAGAGAAGUUUUCCCUGUUGCUCCCCCCAAAUGUGGUACAAGACUCAGGCAGAGCAUAUUUCUCAGUUCUGGGCGACAUCAUGGGCACUGCCAUGCAGAACCU